GACGAACGCUGGCGGCGUGCUUAACACAUGCAAGUCGAACGGAAAGGCCCUGCUUUUGUGGGGUGCUCGAGUGGCGAACGGGUGAGUAACACGUGAGUAACCUGCCCUUGACUUUGGGAUAACUUCAGGAAACUGGGGCUAAUACCGGAUAGGAGCUCCUGCUGCAUGGUGGGGGUUGGAAAGUUUCGGCGGUUGGGGAUGGACUCGCGGCUUAUCAGCUUGUUGGUGGGGUAGUGGCUUACCAAGGCUUUGACGGGUAGUCGGCCUGAGAGGGUGACCGGCCACAUUGGGACUGAGAUACGGCCCAGACUCCUACGGGAGGCAGCAGUGGGGAAUAUUGCACAAUGGGCGGAAGCCUGAUGCAGCAACGCCGCGUGCGGGAUGACGGCCUUCGGGUUGUAAACCGCUUUCGCCUGUGACGAAGCGUGAGUGACGGUAAUGUGUAAAGAAGCACCGGCUAACUACGUG
rnacentral:rRNA from 1 species